CAGCAUGGUUUAGACACACAGAGCGGAACAGGGGAUGUUAGAGAGGAUGGCAGAUACACCUCCGUUUGACUGAAGAAUGAUGGUGUAGAAAAUUAUUCAAAAUAAAAGUGUACUGAUUAGAGUCUUAACCAAGAGUAGAGGGAUAAAAAAUCCUUUAAAGUUGUCUCAAUAUGGGAGCAGAGUGGACUAACAGGCUUAGAAACAGAUAAGGGGAUCCCCCACUGUUUCCAAAAUGCCAUGGAAACACUGAGAGACAUCGGGCAAGCCUAUCAGGACACAGGGAGGGGGAACAGCAGAGGUAUGUCUCUGCCCAGUCUGAGCAACAGCAGCAGACUCUGGGGUCAUGGAGAUGCUGCUCCGACACCUGGCUUGUUGAGCACCAGGACCUCCUGCCAGCCGGUACCUCCCACACACAG
ensembl:lncRNA